ensembl:lncRNA
UUUCCCAUUUUUUAUGCUUUCUAAAGCUGAAUAACUAUCAGAUAUAAUCACUGAGUUAUUUAACUCAUUUCCCUCUACCCAUUCCAAGGCCAACAAAAUUGCAACCAGCUCUGUUGUGUAUACUGAUAAAUGAUCUGUUAUUCUUUCCUGACAUAUUACCCCAUUCUUUGGAAUAUAUACUGCUGACCCAGCGUGUCCUGUCUUUGGAUCCUUAGAACCAUCUGUAAAUAUGAAUGUGUCUUCAGGGAAAUGCAUAUCCAGAUAAUAUUUAACAAUAUCCCUCACUGCUACUUCCUUUGACUUACUUUUUAUUUUCUUAUGAAUGCCUAAAUCUACAUCUGGUAUAGGGAAAAACCAUGGUGGAAUAGGAGGGACUGAAACCGUUGAACAGUACUGUAAUUUAUGUAACCCAAUAUUCUCAGCUUUCGCAUCGCCAAUCCACCCAAAACUUUUGUAAUUGGACUUUCCAUGUUCCCAGCAAUCUUUUAAGAUAGCUUUAGCUGGGUGGCUAUCAACUUGUCCCUUCACAUUAAUCCAGUAUGCUAACAUCAGUUGUAUCCUUCUGAUCCUCAAAGGCAUCUCACCCAUUUCCACUUGCAUAGAAGAUACCGGGGAUGUUUUAAAAGAUCCACUACAUAUCCUUAGAGCCUGAGCUUGCAUGACAUCCAAAGCUUUGAUGUUAGACUCCGCAUUGAGUUCUCUCUCACUUACACAUACAAAUCACGCAAAAUUGUCAAAAUGAGAAUAUUUGGCGAGUGACAGUCUUAAAUAAGUCUUGACUGAUGUAAAGAGUUGGGAGGUGUCAGAUGUCUGUCGUUAUGAGACAUGUUUUAAAGUUACAUGACAGUAGUUCAUGAGAUUCAUGGUGUUUCUUUUCAUUUUCUUUUCUAAUGGCAGGUCAUAAUUGCUGCUGUACUUUGCGUCCCAAGCACCCCCUGCAUUCUUAUCAUGGAUUGCUGUCAUACAAGUUACCAUGUCCUCCCCCAUUGAGACUGAGCUACAAAUUCCCUUUGUUUUAUUUUAAACAUAAAACAUCCGGAGGAGAAUGGCACCUACGAUGGAAUUCAUACAAAUGUAAGGAACAUAUCUAAAGAAACCGUGUAUAAAGCAUUUUAUGUUGCUUGUUUGUGGAAAAUAAUUAAAGGGUUAGUUCAGUCAAAAAUGAAAAAUUCUGUCAUUAAUCACUCACUCUCAUGUUGUUCCAAACCUGUUAGACCUUCGUUCAUCUUCAGAACACAAAUUAAGAUUUUUGAUGGAAUCUGAAAGCUUUCUGACCCUGCAUAUACAGCAAGGGCCCUACCACGAUCAAGGCACAGAAACAUAGUAUAAGGACAUUGUUAAAAUGGUCCAUGUGACAUCAGUGGUUCAACUGUAAUUUUACAAAAAUAUUACUUUUAUUACUUAAGUAAACAAAAUGACAACUUUAUUCAAUGAUUUAUCCUCUCCUGGGAGAGUGCCGCCAUUAACUAGAGUACCACUACGGAUGCGUUUGCAUUAAUUUGCCAAUAAACAAGGUGCAGCGCAUGCAGGGUCUACGUCAACAGCACCACACACAUUCCCCAUGGGUCAGAGAGCUCUCGAAUUUUAUCACAAAUAUCUUAAUUUGUGAUCUGAAGAUAACUGAAUGACUUAACAGAUAUUUUAUAAGCAAUGUUUAAAAUCCUGAACGAGCGUCAAAGGUUCAGAUGAAGGAAUCUACGCUUCUAAGACUCAUGUAUGAACUACUUAUAGAUUCCGUGUAAAUUUUAGUUUUUUUUUUUUUUUUUAAAUCUCAAUUUAGGACUUGGACUAAAAAUGCAGCAAAAGAAAAAGUAGUUUCCUCAAACGGGCACAUAGCAAGAGAUACUAAAUUCACACAAACAUGUCAGUUGUAGAUGCAGAUAAUUUAGCAUGAAUAAGAGGUUAGUAAUCUAACUAGGGUUAGUUCACCCAUAAUAUUAUAUGAAUAAUCUCAUUCCAAUCCUGUUAGACUUUUGUUCAUUUUUGGAACACUAACGAAGACCCUUUUUAAUGAAAUCUGACAGCUGUACUGUAUUGGACGUUGAAAUGGUAGUUGCAUAUGCUGUCAAUUGAGGGACAGAAAGCACAGAUUUCAUUAAAAAUACUCUUCAUUUGUGUUUCAAAGAUGAAUGGAAAUCGUAUGGAUUUGAAAUAAUAUGAAGUUAAAUAACUGAUGACAAAAUUCUUUGUGACCACUAUUUGGUGCAACACCAAUAUUGUAAAAGUACCUGUUCAUGAUUUCUUUUUUCUGCAUGUUGCUGUUUAAACUAAAAAUUGUUCUAUAAUGUUUUAAUGUUAAC